AUUGAACGCUGGCGGCAGGCCUAACACAUGCAAGUCGAGCGGAUGAAGGGAGCUUGCUCCUGGAUUCAGCGGCGGACGGGUGAGUAAUGCCUAGGAAUCUGCCUGGUAGUGGGGGAUAACGUCCGGAAACGGGCGCUAAUACCGCAUACGUCCUGAGGGAGAAAGUGGGGGAUCUUCGGACCUCACGCUAUCAGAUGAGCCUAGGUCGGAUUAGCUAGUUGGUGGGGUAAGGCCUACCAAGGCGACGAUCCGUAACUGGUCUGAGAGGAUGAUCAGUCACACUGGAACUGAGACACGGUCCAGACUCCUACGGGAGGCAGCAGUGGGGAAUAUUGGACAAUGGGCGAAAGCCUGAUCCAGCCAUGCCGCGUGUGUGAAGAAGGUCUUCGGAUUGUAAAGCACUUUAAGUUGGGAGGAAGGGCAGUAAGUUAAUACCUUGCUGUUUUGACGUUACCAACAGAGUAAGCACCGGCUAACUUCGUG
rnacentral:rRNA from 1 species